GGACGAUGACGAAUGCGUUGAUUAAAGGUCUCGUUCGUCGUAAUGGCGGCACCACCGCCUUGCCGACCAUCCUGAUAUAUCACCACCCAUAUUCUGAGUCC